rnacentral:lncRNA from 1 species
UUAAAGAAGCAAAGCGUCCCUCAGACCACCGCAGGCUUAACCUAUUUUAGGACCCCACCCUCACAGGUUUUCGAUUCUGUAGGUCUAGGUGGGGCUGUAAAUUCAGGUGACGGGAAGGUAACGUCCAGAAAUAACGGGUGCCCAAGUGACUCGAGGAGGGAGCGCAAUAAAUGUUCACUGCGAACAUCAUCACCAGCCAAGCUGCCCACGCCAGACGCCCGGGUACAGCGCGCAGGGGAGCGACGGCCUCCGCCCGGACCUUCCCGACUUCUUGCCUCUUCGCCGAGAAACAGACUCGCUCCAGCUGCUCAACGAUCCGGCUGCGCCCCAAUGAUCUAUCAUCCUGACUACCGGGAAAUCCUGCUCCCGUCUGGCCUCCCUUGGCGGCUUCCUAAAACCACGCAGCCUGUGCCUUUCUUGUUGAAGCUUCUGUUUUCCCCUCUCCCCGGUUCCGCGUUCCUGGAAAGUAAAUAAAAGGGGUGUGGACCCCAGUCGCCCAAUGGUGCGCAUCCUGGCCCGGACCCCCUUAGGUCCGGGGCACAGCCCCCCUCCCGCGCAACCCCGCCC